GGCGGCAUGCCUUACACAUGCAAGUCGAACGGCAGCACGGGAGCAAUCCUGGUGGCGAGUGGCGAACGGGUGAGUAAUAUAUCGGAACGUGCCCAGUCGUGGGGGAUAACGUAGCGAAAGCUACGCUAAUACCGCAUACGAUCUAUGGAUGAAAGCGGGGGAUCGCAAGACCUCGCGCGAUUGGAGCGGCCGAUAUCAGAUUAGGUAGUUGGUGAGGUAAAGGCUCACCAAGCCGACGAUCUGUAGCUGGUCUGAGAGGACGACCAGCCACACUGGGACUGAGACACGGCCCAGACUCCUACGGGAGGCAGCAGUGGGGAAUUUUGGACAAUGGGCGCAAGCCUGAUCCAGCAAUGCCGCGUGCAGGAUGAAGGCCUUCGGGUUGUAAACUGCUUUGUACGGAACGAAACGGUGAGCUCUAAUACAGUUUGCUAAUGACGGUACCGUAAGAAUAAGCACCGGCUAACUACGUG
rnacentral:rRNA from 1 species